UAAUGCUGGCACAAGGCCAAACACGCACACAGACAAAUGCACACAGGCAGACACAUACACCUCACCCAGAGACACACACUCCGAGAUGGACACACACUAACACCCUGGUCAAACUACAUGCACUCAUGUGUCCAGAAAUUGCAAUAUUCGAUAAGGAAAAGGAAAUUAAACGCUUCUGAUUAACCAGAGGAGGCGUGAGGGGGUGGAGGACAUUCGCCCAAAUACGAGACUAAGUGUUAAAUUUGCUCAAGGGAACCUCAGGCCCUGCCAUCAGCAUCACCCAAGUGCCGCCCACACUCCUCCCUCCUUCUCUCCUUAUCUCCCUCACCCAGAAGACACGGAUGUCUUGGCACGCGGUUAUCAGUCUCCUAGGGAAACUGUCUGACUACUUGAGACACAGCUGGCACUUGGGACCCCUGGGCCAUGGAGAAGAGGGUGCGGAGGGGCUGACUCUGGACCCGGGUUGCAGAGGCUGCCCUUGGAGCAGGUGGGGGACCCCUCGCGUCCUGGGCCAAUUUGCGACCAGAAGAAAGGACCUGCAGCAGCUCCUGGCAGAGAAAGCAGCCCUGGUGAGCCUGGGGCGUGAGACAGCCAACACGUCGAGGAGCUUAAGGACCUGGAGGAGCAGCCAGCAGGCGAGGCAGCUCAGUGCACAACGUACCGUGGAUAUACAACAUCCCGUGAACCUACGAUACACGGUCUGCAGGAGCUGAUCAGAAUCCAAACUCCUGGGGCUGGGACCACCCUCUACCCAUGCCUCCAAACAGAGGCCGAGGAUCUGGGCUCUUUGAACAACCAAAGGAAGCAACAUCAGGGGCCAAACCCAUGCUGGUUCUUCUCACCGGCUUCCAGCGGAGGCUGCCCCUCGCUGUUAUUAACUUUCCAAGAAAGCCUCUUCCUUUCUUACAAAGUUCCCCCAGGAGCGGGACUCCUCCUUCUCCUCCCAACCCAGCAAACCUUCUCGUGGCCAAAGCACCCUGACUUGGUGGGAGGGUCCCACGGUGACCACAGGAGAGCAGGUUUCCUGAUUCUGAGGUUUGGAGCACCAAACCUGCCCCAAGCCCGGCUUAAUUGGAAAUGACUGACAGAACAUUCUAGACCCCAAGAGCUCUCAGGACAGCAGUGGAUUCUCAUCAAAGGUCUUGGGUGUUGAGUCCCCCCAUCGUGGCUGAGAUGGGCACAUCAUGUACUAGGUGAAUCCACUUCCCUCAGGGAUGAGAACCCAGGCAGCUGAAGGAAUUUACCACGAUAACUGAGAAACUGGACACACUUGUCACACUCAGAAAUCCCCAGAGACCCGCAUUUGCAGUGACUGUUGGCCAUCUAUAGACAUUGGGGUUGGGAGGCUGUGGGCUGGUUGCAAAUUUAUGGUUACAGAACAAUAAAAUGAGGAGAAACUUCAUCUCUGGAAGAACAUGCAUGGGAAAAAAAUAGGAUGACUUUUUUUGAACUUGGAAACUAUGUCACGUCUCUCUGUGCUCUUUAAACAUUUCACAAUUCAGAGACCGUGAGCAUCAGUCCUUCUAAUAUAGUAUAGCCUCAUUAUUCUGUUUUAUUAAAGAUAAUUUUUGAAACUUCACUCUCUGAGAAGAAAUGGAUGCAUGAGAAAUAUGCAGUCCACAUGGAGAACAAAGAAUCAUUCUUCAAUUUAUAUUUAAAAAUUAAAAGUAGCAAUAAAAUAGAAGGUAUCUUUACCCUCCCCCGACUCAAGAACCAUUCACCUGGACUCUUUGAGGAAACAUUUUAAAAGAUUUGUGGGAGUGGAAGUGUGCUUGCCUGGACUGGAUCUUCACACACUUGAAGGCAGAGCAAAUUGUUACAACCCUUUCCAGAAGCAAUGGAACCAUAUGUAUACCCUCAAAAUGUUUUAAACAUUUGACCCAGAAAUCAAUCUGCUGGGAACCUGCCCUAAGGAAACAAUUCAGAAGAACAAAAAUGCUAUAUGCACAAAUACAUCUCCUCUAGGGGCGCCUGGGUGGCUCAGUUGGUUAAGCAUCUGCCUUUGGCUCAGGGCAUGAUCCCAGGAUCCUGGGAUCAAAUCCCUCAUAGG